GGUUCCCCGANCAAAAAAAANGAGGANUCAGNCCUGCCCAGUNAAAUUUUAACGGCCGCGGUACUCUGACCGUGCAAAGGUAGCAUAAUCAUUUGCCUUAUAAUUGAAGGCUAGUAUGAAUGGUUUAACGUGAGCGACGCUGUCUACUUUUAUAUUUUCUAUAAAUUAACCUUUAGGUGAAGAGGCCUAAAUUUAAUUAAAGGACAAGAAGACCCUGUCGAGCUUAAAAGCUUAGAAAGGAAUCAUUAUUAACAAAAUUUAUUUCUUUUAUAACUUUUUAGUUGGGGCGACUAAGGAACAAAUAAAGCUUCUUCCAUCAAAAUAGCCAAUAAGCCAAGACCCAGUUUACUGAGCAAGAAAAUUAGUUACCGCAGGGAUAACAGCAUAAUCUCUCUUGAGAGACCAAAUCGAAAGGGGGGGUUGUGACCUCGAUGUUGGACUAGAAUAUCCUAAANAUGCNNACNUCUUUGAGGGUUGGUCUGUUCGACCAUGAAAAUUCU
rnacentral:rRNA from 1 species